CCAGUCGGCCCCCGGUGGGCCACAGUCGGCCCCCUGGUCAAGGUGACGGGCAGCGCGGGUCACCCGCUUACCGAGAAGGCGCCCGAGUGGCCUGGUGAUGGAUGGUCAGGUCGGGCCCUCCGACGUCACGGGCCUCGUAGUGCUUGGGCCAUUCGAGCAGGAGGAUGGAUUCUCCGGGCUUACGCUGCAGUUUUUAAGAGAAGAUGGUGUCAAGGAGAGGACACUGCUGAGAUUCAGGUGAAGGUGUCAAGACUUUCCAUGCGCCGUCUUCUGUGAGGUGGUGGCGAUGAGAUGUGUCUCACAGCAUGGUUGAGAGGAUUAGGACAACAUCUCUCAAGCUCUAGAGUUGUAAAUGGCAACUGUAGUCUCCCAUGAGAUGGCUCUGGAAUGUCAUUCACUAGCAUCGUAUGCCAAAAACCAGACCCUGGGAGCGCAGUCCUGAAGCAAACCCCGAAGGAUGGAGCUGGAAGGACUUUUAUUUGCUGAGGGUAACUUAGGGUACUUUCAUACCUGGCCUGGGCGCUGGGUCUUGGUCCCUCCCAUGUGAACGGAGGCGUGGCUAGAGGGGUGCUGGGGAGCCUAAGAAAGGAGGAUUCCUUGUGGUUACAGAUGCCCAGAAGGGGACCUGGUAGAAGUUACAUUCGAGUAACCUGAGAGGUGCGGCCUGCUAGUUUCUUUGGGAGAUGGGCAGUGGCAGGAGGGGACCCCCCAACACACAGGCGAGGGAGGGCGAGUGGGAUGUGUGC